UACGGAGGGGGCGAGCGUUAUUCGGAAUUAUUGGGCGUAAAGGGCGCGUAGGCGGCCCGGUAAGUCAAAGGUGAAAUCCCUCGGCUCAACUGAGGAACUGCCUUUGAAACUGUCGGGCUUGAGGCCGGGAGGGGUGAGCGGAAUUCCCAGUGUAGCGGUGAAAUGCGUAGAGUAUUGGGAGGAACACCCGUGGCGAAGGCGGCUCUCUGGGACGGUACUGACGCUGAGACGCGAAAGCGUGGGGAGCGUAACAGGA
rnacentral:rRNA from 1 species